CAUAAGAGGUACAGCCUGCCCAGUGACUCUGUUUAACGGCCGCGGUAUCCUAACCGUGCGAAGGUAGCGUAAUCACUUGUUCUUUAAAUGAGGACUAGUAUGAAUGGCAUCACGAGGGUUAUACUGUCUCCUUUUCCCAAUCAGUGAAACUAAUCUCCCCGUGAAGAAGCGGGGAUAAAAAUAUAAGACGAGAAGACCCUAUGGAGCUUUAAACUAGAUUACAUCUGCUUAACACACAAAAAUUUCAGAAAAGUAGAUUUAUCCAAGCACUAUGUUAAUUAGUUUUAGGUUGGGGUGACCGCGGAGUAAAACUCACCCUCCGCAUUGAACAAGAUUGUUUCUUUAGCUAAAAGCUACAACUUUAAGCACCAAUAAAUUGACAUUAUUGACCCAAUAUUUUGAUCAACGAACCAAGUUACCCUAGGGAUAACAGCGCAAUCCACUUCAAGAGCUCCUAUCGACAAGUGGGUUUACGACCUCGAUGUUGGAUCAGGGUAUCCCAGUGGUGCAGCCGCUACUAAAGGUUCGUCUGUUCAA
rnacentral:rRNA from 1 species